rnacentral:other from 1 species
AACGUUCUGCCCUGUUCGUGAACCGAUGCUUUUAUAACCCUACACCUUUAUAAUUUGGGGUCACAUCUCGAACGGUGGGUAUGCAGACCUCCCGCGGCGGUGCCGAGUUCGGAAGAAGGGAGCUCAAAGCCGUUCGGCAGACACCCACCUGCUUUACUUGCAGGUUAUUUUAAAGCCGCUACGGCAGGGCGGAACAUAU